UACAGAGGUCCCAAGCGUUGUUCGGAUUCACUGGGCGUAAAGGGUGCGUAGGUGGUUAGGUAAGUCCGAUGUGAAAUCUCCAGGCUCAACCUGGAAAUGGCAUUGGAUACUAUUUAGCUUGAGGAGUGGAGGGGGGACUGGAAUUCUCGGUGUAGCAGUGAAAUGCGUAGAUAUCGAGAGGAACACCAGUGGCGAAGGCGAGUCCCUGGACAGGUACUGACGCUGAGACGCGAAGCGUGGGUAGCAAACAGG
rnacentral:rRNA from 1 species